CAGUCGCCGCGGUAGUACGAAGGGUGCAAGCGUUAAUCGGAAUUACUGGGCGUAAAGCGUGCGUAGGCGGUGAGUUAAGUCUGCUGUGAAAUCCCCGGGCUCAACCUGGGAAUGGCAGUGGAUACUGGCUCGCUAGAGUGUGUCAGAGGAUGGUGGAAUUCCCGGUGUAGCGGUGAAAUGCGUAGAGAUCGGGAGGAACAUCAGUGGCGAAGGCGGCCAUCUGGGACAACACUGACGCUGAGGCACGAAAGCGUGGGGAGCAAACAGGAUUAGAUACCCGCGUAGUCCCUGUCUCUUAUAC
rnacentral:rRNA from 1 species